GUGCUUGCUUUGGCAGCACAUAUAGUAAAACUGGAACAUACAGAGAAGUUUAUCAUGGCCCCUGCAAAGGGAUGACAUGCAAAUUUAUGAAGCAGUCCAUAUUUUU
ensembl:snRNA U6 U6 spliceosomal RNA